rnacentral:rRNA from 1 species
UGGGGAGUAUUGGACAAUGGGCGAAAGCCCGAUCCAGCCAUGCCGCAUGAGUGAAGAAGGCCUUUGGGUUGUAAAGCUCUUUUAGUGAGGAAGAUAAUGACGGUACUCACAGAAGAAGUCCUGGCUAACUCCGUGCCAGCAGCCGCGGUAAUACGGAGAGGGCUAGCGUUAUUCGGAAUUAUUGGGCGUAAAGGGCGCGUAGGCUGGUUAGUAAGUUAAAAGUGAAAUCCCGAGGCUUAACCUUGGAACUGCUUUUAAAACUGCUAACCUAGAGAUUGAAAGAGGAUAGAGGAAUUCCUAGUGUAGAGGUGAAAUUCGUAAAUAUUAGGAGGAACACCAGUGGCGAAGGCGUCUAUCUGGUUCAAAUCUGACGCUGAGGCGCGAAGGCGUGGGGAGCAAACA